AUUGAACGCUGGCGGCAUGCUUUACACAUGCAAGUCGAACGGCAGCGCGGACUUCGGUCUGGCGGCGAGUGGCGAACGGGUGAGUAAUAUAUCGGAACGUACCCAGGAGUGGGGGAUAACGUAGCGAAAGUUACGCUAAUACCGCAUACGCUCUACGGAGGAAAGCAGGGGAUCGCAAGACCUUGCGCGCUUGGAGCGGCCGAUAUCUGAUUAGCUAGUUGGUGGGGUAAAGGCUCACCAAGGCAACGAUCAGUAGCUGGUCUGAGAGGACGACCAGCCACACUGGGACUGAGACACGGCCCAGACUCCUACGGGAGGCAGCAGUGGGGAAUUUUGGACAAUGGGGGCAACCCUGAUCCAGCAAUGCCGCGUGAGUGAAGAAGGCCUUCGGGUUGUAAAGCUCUUUUGUCAGGGAAGAAACGGGCGUGGCUAAUAUCCAUGCCUAAUGACGGUACCUGAAGAAUAAGCACCGGCUAACUACGUGCCAGCAGCCGCCGUAAUAC
rnacentral:rRNA from 1 species